AUUAGCAGCAUACAUAGUCAUGUGUAACAUAAUAAACCCGAACAAGCUGCAAGAACAAAUAAAAAAACCAAACAAACAUUAGCCAAGUAAAGUGUGGAUUAUUUCAAAUGUAAUUUCUGCGUUUGCGUUUAGAUGAGUGAAAAAAACGAGAAAAGAGAACUUUUCAAUUGUGUUUAACUUUUACUAUACUUUUAACAAAUCUGAUGUGUUUAACAUGUUUAAAGUGGUGAAUUCAUUAAGAAAGAAUACGUACUAAGUGUAAACGCAAACAUAUAUACAUGCCCGGCUCUUGGGAGGUGCUGAGUGUGCUAGUGCACCGGGUCCCACUUCUUUAUUCAGUUUUUCUUUAUAUUUUAGGGUCCAAAUGUUCAAAUAAUUGCAAAAUAGGAUCUAGUUUUUAAAUAUUUAGAGUUUUAGGUAAAGAAAUUUGGAGCAUAGCACAGGGUCCAAUAAUUUAUUGGGCCGGCCCUGCAUAUAUAUGAUUGAAGCAUAAUAAGGCCUACCUAUAAAGAGGGAACAUCGUAUUCAUGUAUUGUUUUUGGCCAUCAUCUUGUAAAAUGUUUCGGGU
rnacentral:sRNA from 1 species